CAGCAGUCGCCACGGUAAUACGGAGGGGGCUAGCGUUGUUCGGAAUUACUGGGCGUAAAGCGCACGUAGGCGGCUUGGUAAGUUAGAGGUGAAAGCCCGGAGCUCAACUCCGGAAUUGCCUUUAAGACUGCCGAGCUAGUAGGUGAGAGAGGUAAGUGGAAUUCCGAGUGUAGAGGUGAAAUUCGUAGAUAUUCGGAAGAACACCAGUGGCGAAGGCGGCUUACUGGCUCAUACUGGACGCUGAGGUGCGAAAGCGUGGGGAGCAAACAGGAUUAGAUACCCGCGUAGUCCCUGUCUCUUAUAC
rnacentral:rRNA from 1 species